UACGUAGGGUGCAAGCGUUGUCCGGAAUUAUUGGGCGUAAAGAGCUCGUAGGCGGUUUGUCGCGUCUGCUGUGAAAACGCGAGGCUCAACCUCGCGCCUGCAGUGGGUACGGGCAGACUAGAGUGCGGUAGGGGAGAUUGGAAUUCCUGGUGUAGCGGUGGAAUGCGCAGAUAUCAGGAGGAACACCGAUGGCGAAGGCAGAUCACUGGGCCGCAACUGACGCUGAGGAGCGAAAGCUAGGGGAGCAAACGGG
rnacentral:rRNA from 1 species